UACGUAGGGGGCAAGCGUUGUCCGGAAUUAUUGGGCGUAAAGAGCGUGUAGGCGGCCAGGUAGGUCUGCUGUGAAAACUCGAGGCUUAACCUCGAGAUGUCGGUGGAAACCAUCUGGCUAGAGUCCGGAAGAGGAGAGUGGAAUUCCUGGUGUAGCGGUGAAAUGCGCAGAUAUCAGGAGGAACACCAAUGGCGAAGGCAGGUCUCUGGGCCACAACUGACGCUGAGGAGCGAAAGCGUGGGGAGCGAACAGG
rnacentral:rRNA from 1 species